rnacentral:lncRNA from 1 species
GUGUGAGAAAUGGAGACAGAGGGAUUGGAGAGAUGAAGAUGGGGGAUCCGUGGUCUCUGAAGCCCCCAAUGCUUGUGUGAGGGAAGACCAUCAUAUUGGACUAGAACCUACCCUAAUAAUCCCAAUGAAACUUAAUGACUUCUUUGAAGGCCCUAUCUCCAUAUAAAGUCAUAUUCUAAGGUUUGCUUUUUCCAGUGAAGCUUUCUACCAGAAAAAAGGCAAAGAAGAUGGUUUUUCUGAUAAAGUCCCAUGAGAAUGCUCUGAUGACACUGGAAAAGCUUUCUUUCAUUCAUCCACCCACUGGUGACUUGGAAAAUAGCCUCUUCACCUUCAAAUGAGAGAAUAAUGCUGAAUUUUUCUGAAUUUCUAAGACGGGAAGUGAUGUAUCACUAAAACGGUGAGCUCUCACUGAAACAGGAAAUCUUCUACCAGUGUGGGUCUGAGUUGAUCUCUCCCUCCCUCCC